UACGUAGGGGGCAAGCGUUGUCCGGAUUUACUGGGCGUAAAGAGCGUGUAGGCGGCCAAGCAGGUCCGUUGUGAAAACUGGAGGCUUAACCUCCAGACGUCGACGGAAACCGCGUGGCUAGAGUCCGGAAGAGGAGAGUGGAAUUCCUGGUGUAGCGGUGAAAUGCGCAGAUAUCAGGAGGAACACCAAUGGCGAAGGCAGCUCGCUGGGACGUGACUGACGCUGGAGACGCGAAAGCGUGGGGAGCAAACAGG
rnacentral:rRNA from 1 species